AGCUCUACCUUAGCUUCUCAUUACACCAAAAACCCUCCCAAACUUAAGAGCCAUUCAAAUAAGGCACAGCUUAUUUGAAAUAGGGCACAACCUCUAACACCGGGUAAAUAAGGGUAACUUAAACAAAGUAGGCCUAAGAGCAGCCACCUUUAAAAAAGCGUUAAAGCUUACUUAUAAUCACCCACAAUUUCCUAAAUCCUCAUUAACCCUUCACCACUACUGAACUAUUUUAUAUCUUUAUAAAAGCUAUAAUGCUAGAACUAGUAACAAGAAAUAGCCUUUCUCCAAAAUGUAAGCUUACACCAAAAUGGACAAUCCGUUGGUAAUUAACGCAAAUGUUAUAGCCACAGCAACACACCUCUAGAAAACCCUGUGACCUCCUACGUUACCCUUACACUAGAACAUCUCAGGAAAGAUUAAAAGAGAAAGAAGGAACUCGGCAAAUCCUCAGCCCCGCCUGUUUACCAAAAACAUCGCCUCUUGACCAAGUAUAAGAGGUCCAGCCUGCCCAGUGACAAAAUUCAACGGCCGCGGUACCCUAACCGUGCGAAGGUAGCAUAAUCACUUGUUCUCUAAAUAGGGACUAGUAUCAACGGCAUCACGAGGGCUGAACUGUCUCCUUUCUCCAAUCAGUGAAACUGAUCUCCCCGUGAAGAAGCGGGGAUUAUUAUAUAAGACGAGAAGACCCCAUGGAGCUUUAAACUCAUCACUCACUUCCUCACCUCCAUGCCCGACCAUAUAAGGAAUCUGUGUGAUAGUUUUGGGUUGGGGGGACCACGGAGUACAAUUUAACCUCCAUGACAAAUGGGCUAACGCCCUUAUCUACGAACUACAACUCUAAGAAUCAUAAACUGAUGUUUAAUGACCCGACAAUUCGAUCAACGAACCAAGUUACCCUGGGGAUAACAGCGCAAUCUACUUUAAGAGCCCCUAUCGACAAGUAGGUUUACGACCUCGAUGUUGGAUCAGGGUAUCCUAGGGGUGCAGCCGCUCCUAAUGGUUCGUUUGUUCAACGAUUAAAACCCU
rnacentral:rRNA from 1 species